CUGGCGGCGUGCUUCAUACAUGCAAGUCGAACGAGAAAUCACCUUCGGGUGGUGGAAAGUGGCGGACGGGUGAGUAAAAUGUAGAGAAUCUGCCCUAGAGAGUGGGACAACAGAGGGAAACUUCUGCUAAUACCGCAUAUGCGCGUAGCUGAGAUGCUAUUCGUGAAGACUCCGGUGCUCUGGGAUGAGUCUGCAUCUGAUUAGCUAGUUGGCGGUGUAAUGGACCACCAAGGCGACGAUCAGUAGCUGGUUUGAGAGGAUGAUCAGCCACAAUGGGACUGAGACACGGCCCAUACUCCUACGGGAGGCAGCAGUAGGGAAUUUUGCGCAAUGGGCGAAAGCCUGACGCAGCAACGCCGCGUGACCGAUGAAGCCCUUCGGGGUGUAAAGGUCUGUCAGUGGGGACGAAACUUGACGGUACCCACAGAGGAAGCAUCGGCUAACUCCGUGCCAGCAGCGGC
rnacentral:rRNA from 1 species